CCUACGGGGGGCAGCAGUGAGGAAUAUUGGUCAAUGGGCGGGAGCCUGAACCAGCCAAGUCGCGUGAGGGAAGACGGUCCUAUGGAUUGUAAACCUCUUUAGGCGGGGAGCAAUGCCGGGCACGUGUGCCCGGAGGGAGAGUACCCGCAGAAUAAGCAUCGGCUAACUCCGUGCCAGCAGCCGCGGUAAUACGGAGGAUGCGAGCGUUAUCCGGAUUUAUUGGGUUUAAAGGGUGCGUAGGCGGAUUUUUAAGUCAGCGGUAAAAUGUCCGGGCUCAACCCGGGCCGGCCGUUGAAACUGGGGAGCUUGAGUGGGCGAGAAGUAUGCGGAAUGCGUGGUGUAGCGGUGAAAUGCAUAGAUAUCACGCAGAACUCCGAUUGCGAAGGCAGCAUACCGGCGCCCGACUGACGCUGAGGCACGAAAGCGUGGGGAGCAAACAGGAUUAGAUACCCCAGUAGUC
rnacentral:rRNA from 1 species